rnacentral:rRNA from 1 species
CCUCCUUUCUUCCGCCGUUCUUACUAUUGUUCCCUGGGCGCGCUCCUGAACCAGCCAAGCCGCGUGAGGGAAGACGGCCCUAUGGGUUGUAAACCUCUUUUGUCGGAGAACAAAACCCGGGACGUGUCCCGGACUGCGUGUAUCCGAAGAAAAAGCAUCGGCUAACUCCGUGCCAGCAGCCGCGGUAAUACGGAGGAUGCGAGCGUUAUCCGGAUUUAUUGGGUUUAAAGGGUGCGUAGGCGGUCCGUUAAGUCAGCGGUAAAAUUGCGGUGCUCAACCCCGUCGAGCCGUUGAACCUGGCAGACUUGAGUUGGCGAGAAGUACGCGGAAUGCGCGGUGUAGCGGUGAAAUGCAUAGAUAUCGCGCAGAACUCCGAUUGCGAAGGCAGCGUACCGGCGCCAGACUGACGCUGAGGCACGAAAGCGUGGGGAUCGAACAGGAUUAGAUACCCGUGUAGUC